GAGGAAAUAAGGGGAAAGGGGAGAAUGGAAAAAGGAAAGGGGGUCAGAAAUAAUUUAUUUAGUGCCUGUGAUCCACUCCAUUUAAUGAGUAUAAGGCCAGGGCCUAAGAUGGGAAGUGUGAGUCUACUUUCUUUCAAUUAUUUUCAGUUCUUGCAUGCAUCUCACAAUGUGAGCAUCUUAUAAGGUUGAAUGAUUCUAGAAUCUCCUUCACAUCACAUUCAUACAUUCAUAUCCAAUCUAUUCAUUCUACUUCAUCUGGAAGAACUUCCUGGUCAGCCAGAAGGUCCCCCGAUAAUGCUUCCUUUGACUUUCUUGUGUUCUCUAUGACUUCAAUCAUUAACUAAGCAAAAAGACUAUAGCUUUGCUAAGGCAACAAUUCCUUAUGACAUCACAGAAGAAGGCAGGCUGCAUCCAAAGCAAACCAGAUUUUACUUCAGAUGCCAAUUGCAGAGUAUUUCCUGAGGAUCAUCUUCUGGCAAGUGGGCAAGAUCAAUAUGCAUCUGUAAUUACUCACCAGAACCCAACAGUUGGGUAUGUACUGUUUCAUGGAAAAUGAUGACUGCAGGACCCAG